UACGAAGGGGGCUAGCGUUGCUCGGAAUCACUGGGCGUAAAGCGCACGUAGGCGGGUCGUUAAGUCAGGGGUGAAAUCCCGGAGCUCAAAUCCGGAACUGCCUUUGAUACUGGCGAUCUUGAGUUCGAGAGAGGUGAGUGGAACUGCGAGUGUAGAGGCGAAAUUCGUAGAUAUUCGCAAGAACACCAGUGGCGAAGGCGGCUCACUGGCUCGAUACUGACGCUGAGGUGCGAAAGCGUGGGGAGCAAACAGG
rnacentral:rRNA from 1 species